rnacentral:misc_RNA from 1 species
AGCAGCCGCGGUAAUUCCAGCUCCAAUAGCGUAUAUUAAAGUUGUUGCAGUUAAAAAGCUCGUAGUUGAAUUUCGGGAUCAGUAUGUUGGUCGUGCUUCGGUACGUACUGUCAUUACUGGUUUCUACCUUCUGAAGAACCUUGAUGUCAUUAAUUUGGCGUCUUGGGGAAUCAGGACUGUUACUUUGAAAAAAUUAGAGUGUUUAAAGCAAGCAUACGCUUGAAUACAUUAGCAUGGAAUAAUGAAAUAGGACGUUUGAUUCUAUUUUGUUGGUUUCUAGGAUCGACGUAAUGAUUAAUAGGGAUAGUUGGGGGGCAUUAGUAUUCAAUUGUCAGAGGUGAAAUUCUUGGAUUAUUGAAGACUAACUACUGCGAAAGCAUUUGCCAAGGAUGUUUUCAUUAAUCAAGAACGAAAGUUAGGGGAUCGAAGACGAUCAGAUACCGUCGUAGUCUUAACCAUAAACUAUGCCGACUAGGGAUCGGAUGAUGUUAUUUUUAAUGACUCAUUCGGCGCCUUACGG